rnacentral:rRNA from 1 species
GACGAACGCUGGCGGCGUGCUUAACACAUGCAAGUCGAACGGAAAGGCCCUGCUUUUGUGGGGUGCUCGAGUGGCGAACGGGUGAGUAACACGUGAGUAACCUGCCCUUGACUUUGGGAUAACUUCAGGAAACUGGGGCUAAUACCGGAUAGGAGCUCCUGCUGCAUGGUGGGGGUUGGAAAGUUUCGGCGGUUGGGGAUGGACUCGCGGCUUAUCAGCUUGUUGGUGGGGUAGUGGCUUACCAAGGCUUUGACGGGUAGCCGGCCUGAGAGGGUGACCGGCCACAUGGGGACUGAGAUACGGCCCAGACUCCUACGGGGGGCAGCAGGGGGGAAUAUGGCAAAAGGGGCGGAAGCCGGAUGCAGCACCGCCGGGUGCGGGAGGACGGCUUUCGGUUUGUAAACCGCUUUCGCCUGUGACGAAGCGGGAGGGAGGGUAAUGGAUAAAAAAGCACCGGCUAAAUAGGUG